GCCUGGUUGGCUCAGUUGGUUAGGCAUCUGACUUUGGCUCAGGUCACGAUCUCAUGGUUUGUGGAUUUGAGCCCUGCAUCAGGCU
rnacentral:tRNA from 1 species